AGUGAACGCUGGCGGUAGGCCUAACACAUGCAAGUCGAACGGCAGCACAGUAAGAGCUUGCUCUUACGGGUGGCGAGUGGCGGACGGGUGAGGAAUACAUCGGAAUCUACUUUUUCGUGGGGGAUAACGUAGGGGAACUUACGCUAAUACCGCAUACGACCUACGGGUGAAAGCAGGGGAUCUUCGGACCUUGCGCGAUUGAAUGAGCCGAUGUCGGAUUAGCUAGUUGGCGGGGUAAAGGCCCACCAAGGCGACGAUCCGUAGCUGGUCUGAGAGGAUGAUCAGCCACACUGGAACUGAGACACGGUCCAGACGCCUACGAGAGGCAGCAGUGGCGAAUAUUGGACAAUGGGCGCAAGCCUGAUCCAGCCAUACCGCGUGGGUGAAGAAGGCCUUCGGGUUGUAAAGCCCUUUUGUUGGGAAAGAAAAGCAGCAGGUUAAUACCCCGCUGUUCUGACGGUACUCAAAGAAUAAGCACCGGCUAACUUCGUG
rnacentral:rRNA from 1 species